rnacentral:rRNA from 1 species
UACGGAGGGAGCUAGCGUUAUUCGGAAUUACUGGGCGUAAAGCGUACGUAGGCGGCUUUGUAAGUUAGAGGUGAAAGCCUGGAGCUCAACUCCAGAACUGCCUUUAAAACUGCAUCGCUUGAAUCCAGGAGAGGUGAGUGGAAUUCCGAGUGUAGAGGUGAAAUUCGUAGAUAUUCGGAAGAACACCAGUGGCGAAGGCGGCUCACUGGACUGAGAUUGACGCUCAGGCACGAAAGCGUGGGGAGCAAACAGG